rnacentral:piRNA from 1 species
UCAUUUAAAUGUAUUUGUUGAGGGAGAUC